CUUUUUUUUAGAUGACUUAAAUAUAGGAAUAUUCACCAAUGCAGAAUCACAUUGUGGAUCAUUAAUGGAGAGGGACAUCACAAAUUGUUCAUCUCCUGAGAUUUCGGCAGAACUUAUUGGACAGUUUAGCACCAAGAAAAACAAGCAAGAACUAACUCAGGAUAAAGGAGCCAGCUUAGAAAAAGAAAACAAUCGGUGUAAUGACCAGUGUAAUCAGUUCACAAGAAUAGACAAACAAACAAAACACAUGAAGAAAUAUCCUAAAAGGCCCGAUUGGAAUAUAAAUAAGCCACCUAAAAGGUAUAUUCCAGUAUCAGAAAAGUACCCUAAACAGCUUCAAAAGCAGAGAGAAGAAAAAGAAGUAAGGAGGCCGAUGGAAUUGCUUCAUUUGGUAGAAAAAAAUAAUCCUGGGCACCUCUCUCAAAACAGAGGCAUUUCACCAGAAAUUUUUCAUUCAUCUCAUCAAGAAACUGAGUCAAAGUUCAGGUGGCAUCUAGUCAAAAAGGUAAAGCUCUUCCAUCUUAGAAGAUGUGUUGACGUUUCUGGAUUCAAAACACAGUUUCUCAUAUGUAUGCUUUGGUAAGGCUGUUCUGAUCUGUUUCAGUUUACAUUAGGGAUCAGCAAACUAUAUCCCAUGGGCAAAUCCAGGCUGCUACCUGGUUUUGGAAAGUUUUGUACGAACAUAGUCAACCCAUUCUUUUAUGAAUCGUCUGUGGCUGACUUCACACACCAGACUAGCAACAGAAACAAUAUGGCCCACAAAGCUGAAAAGGUUUCCUUAUGCUUAUCAAGUGCUUUACACUUAUACAACUUCUAUAGAUGAAUGCUGUGUAUUCAAAUACCCCUUUAAAACCCUUGUUUAUAGUCCACAUAGACAGAGGUUUGGGAGAUGAGGAACUCCCAAGGAUUAGUUUUGACUCUGGAAAAAACUAAAUCUAUCUAUUCUAUUGCUCAGUCAGUACCUGUUAUUCAAAUAUUACCCUCAGAUUAUUUCAACAAGUAGCCCUAAAAAAUAUUUGUGGAGACAUGUGAAAAUGCUAUAUAUUCCUUUCUGCAUUUAUCUGUCCAUCUUUUAGGAAGAAGAGCCUCUGAAUAUUCAUUCAUUUAGCAAGGAAAGGUAUGUAUGCAUCAGAUUAAUUCCGCAGCUACUUAGUGCUUUCUGUGUGGGACAAAAAAGGGAUUCAAGAUCUGGACAGCAUCAUAUGGUAUAUGUAGAGAACAAUCAGAAAGGGUGUGGCUUCCAGGUGAGGGUUAGAGGUUUAAGGGAUAGUGUGGCACUUUAGCAGGAGCUUGAAGGCCCAAGUUGGACUGGGCCUAGGCAGGAAUGUAGAUAACACUUACUUUUAUCUCUAGACUUAACUAAGUGAUUUUGAUAUUCCAGGUAUGUCAUUAGCAGAAUAGGCAUUCUGCUUUGGGAGGAGGGAUGGCGGGGGGGCGGUGAAUGGGAAGAAAUGACUGAUAAGGACAAUGAGAAAUUCAGUCAGUUAAUGAGAGAUUUAGAACCAUUAGAAUUUUUAUUCUGCCUUUGUGUAUGAACCAGCUGGUUUAGUUGUCCCAGAAUGGGGCUCUAAAAACAAGUUUCGUUCAGAUGGUGAGUACAUUAUUGUAUGGUGAAUUAUCUAAGGAGAAGCAGUAGGCUCAGAUUAACCAAGCCAGCAGUGUUCCGCAGGAUCUAGUAAUUAAAUUUCUCCCUUGUGCUACAGUACACAUACCAUAGCUAGUGCUAGUAAAAACAUAAAUGAAUACCAUUCUCUUCCCCGGUUUUAUGGAACAUUAUUAUAGAGUUCAGGCUUCUAUGCGUAUAUUCCCAAAGGUGUUACAGGUACAUUUAGAAUAAAGUGAAAUGGGCCAGGCAUGUGGCUCACGCCUGUAAUCCCAGCUACUUGGGAGGCUGAGGCAGGAGAGUUGCUUGAACCCAGGAGGCAGAGUUGCAGUGAGCUGAGAUCGUGCCACUGCACUCCAGCCUGGGCAACAGAGCGAGACUUCAUCUCAUAAAGAAAGUGAAAUGUGAUUAAAGAGAUACACUUAAUUUAAAUACACAAUUUUUUACUACGGCUAUUUUUUUUUUUUUUUUAAAUAGGUCUCCAUCAUCACCAGUUCCAGCAGUGAAAAACAGAACCCAACAAACUCAAAAUACAUUACACUUACCACUAAAAAACAGUAGCUAUGAGAGAGAGAAUUUGAUCUCAGGAGGUAAUCAAGCAGAAUUAUCAUCUGGGAUUUCUGAAUCAUCCCAUUUUAUUCCCUAUGUUCGAACAAAUGAGAUCUAUUACCUUGAUCCCGAUGCACCAUUGUCUGGGCCUUCAACCCAGGACCCUCAGUACCAAAAUUCACAAGACUGUGGCCAAGAACGACAGCUAUUUGAUUCUGACUGUGUCAGGGAUCCACUUCUUAAUCCUAACAUGGUGAAAAAUAGGGAUCGACAGCAAGCAAUCCUUAAGGGACUUUCAGAACUGAGACAGGGCCUUCUCCAGAAGCAAAAGGAGUUGGAAAGUAGUCUCCUGCCUUUAGCUGAAAAUCAAGAAGAGAAUUUUGGUUCUUCAUUUUAAAUGUAGAAAAUCAAAUCCUUCACAUUUGAUUUGUGUCUUCCAAAUUAUAAAAUGUGCUCACUGGCUCAACUGUAUUUUUCAAAUAGCCUAGAUUUACUUAUUUUUUUAAAUGCUCAUUAAAAACUUGUAUACUAUGUAGUAAAA
rnacentral:sRNA from 1 species